rnacentral:rRNA from 1 species
CAAUAGCGUAUAUUAAAGUUGUUGCGGUUAAAAAGCUCGUAGUUGGAUUUCUGUCGAGGACGGCCGGUCUUCACUAUGUGAAAGUAUCUGGUUCGGCCUUGGCAUCCUCGUGGGGAACGUAGCUGCGCUUGAUUGCGUGGUACGGAAUUCACGACUUUUACUUUGAGGAAAUUAGAGUGUUCACGGCAGGCAAUCGCCUUGAAUAUAUUAGCAUGGAAUAAUAGCAUCGGAUCAUCGUUCAGCUGUUGGUGUCUGGACGAGGAUAAAGGUGAACAGGGAUUGUUGGGGGCAUUCGUAUUUAACUGUCAGAGGUGAAAUUCUUGGAUUUGUUGAAGACGAGCUACUGCGAAAGCAUUUGCCAAAGAUGUUCUCAUUGAUCAAGAACGAAAGUUAGGUGAUCG